GAAGCUAAGCUUCAUGGUCGUCACAAAUUAUCAAGCAGAAAAUGGCGAGGAGCAAUGGGCUCCGACGGGUCAAUUGCCUGAAAAAUUAACCUUCCUGAUCAAUAUCGUUGCCACAUAUCGAUUGGGAAGACCCAGAUAAACUGCCGAAUUGGUCUAAAGGACCGAUAUCGGAAGCUUUAAUCUGCCUGUGUAUGGCCACCUUUAAGCUUUAGUUCUCCUUUAAGAAACUCUUUGCGAAGAAUAUAUUAAAGGCGACACAAUGUUUUUUUUCUUGUCCAGAAAGUAAGACUGUCACACAAUGCCAGUGUGCUAUGGCUAAUAUUGCAACAAUAGAAAGAUGAUUUAAUUUUAUUCUUAGAAGUCAUGACUAUUUUCCCUAGAUGUAUAAAUAAACUCGGCUUUUGUGUCUCCCUCCUUCGUUGCUAUACUCAUGAGACAGGAAUUUAACUCCUCCUUAUCUCAGUAUGGUCUUCGCUGUACAAGCACUAUUUAUUUGGCAUCCCUUUCCUCCUCCAGAGCUUCUGCAUCACAUCUAUUCAGCUGCAACAGCCAGAAAAUAUGCAGCGGUCAGUUUUGUGUCAAAACAAUUGUUAACAGUUAAGCCUAGAUGUAUCCAGUGGACCACUCAUGUUUAUAUGAGAUAUACUUUCCAGGAAACAGGAAAUACAGAUUCAUUGUUUUCCACUCCAGAAAUGGGUAAUUCAAGGACAUCUCUUUAUGAAUAUGCAGUUGUAAAUAAAGACAGUUGUUUCCCUAGACAAUUUAAUUGGAUGUAAUAAAGAACACUGACAUGCAAACCUCUGGUUCCUUGUUUAACAUUCCUACUUCUGAAGCUCACACAGUUAUUAAUGCAGCUGUAUAAAGUCUGAAUAUAGACUUCUGAUCUGGGAUAAUUGUAUACAAAAUUAUGCCACAACACAUUACAUAAAGCCCGGAGGUUCUGUUGUAAUUUUUGGGCAUGUGUGAUUCACAUGGCAAAACUACAGGAAUAUGGUUGAUGCCACUGUUCUUGUCUACACUUUCUCAAGUUACUUACUAAGGUAAAAUAAAUCUUACUGCAGCAGUCAUCAUUUGAUAGGUUGUGGUAUAAAACUGGAAAUAUUGUAUCAGACUACUACGUUUUGCUGUUAUUUAAGAAUUAAGGCUGAUUCAUUUGUUUCGAUCCUGAAGCCUUUAGGGUUGAAGGUCCCUCUAAAGUUAGGAGUGCAUGUGGAGCAACUAGAUUUUCCAGUGUAGUCACUUUGGUUUGAAUUGGUAGUCCAACAGCUCACAUGGUUUCUCCAUUGUUUGUUUAAUGAUCCAAAGAAUUAGAGAUCCCUACUUGUGGUGCAUGCCUGGGGAAAAAUGGAGCCUUCAAAAGGGAACAUCUUGGUGCCACCUAUGUGAGAAAACCUUUUAUAAUACAAUUAGGGCUCUGUUGGUCCUUCUGUAAUUUGAAAUGUAACUUUGCGGUGAUAUUAGAGGCCUGUGCUGUCCCCAGAACCCUUCUAAAAGAGAAUUCAAUAUAGGCAAACCACGCAGAUUAGUAAUUAAGCUAAUGAGGCUGAUUUAUAAACCAAAGCUAAAUUGCAGAAGUGGUUGCCAAUCAGCAAUUAUUUUUGCAGAGUCUACUUACUACAAGUUGGAAAAUUAAAUCAAAGACCUGAUUGCAUUUAUGCAUCACCAUACCCCAUCUCAAUACAUGCAUGUGCAGGCCGAUAGCUGACUAUUGACAGAAUCCAACCAUUGAUUGCAGAUACUAGAUACACUUCUACAGUUUCAAUAGAAUUAUCCAAAAUAAAUAAAAGACAAUAUAUGAAGAAUGAAUUUGUCCAUUUGUCUCAUCCAGUAGCAGAAUUAGUGAAUGCUUUUAACUUUCUCUCUCACAUAAAACUGGCUUCACGAGAGAUGACAAGCUCUUUGCAACAAAGCACCCUCUAUUUUCCAACAGAGCAUGUGUGUCCCAGGCACUGAGAAUUUAGGGUCGUUGGGGAGGGUGUAUUGACUAAAUAAUACUAGCAUGUUAAGUGCAGAAUCUCUUGACAUUUGUAUUGCCUAAAAAAUACCACUGGGCAUCUGUGUUUACUUAGCUUAUAUGAAGUUGACCUUCCAAACAGAAGAAAGAAAUACAUUAACCAAUUAUCACUAUACAGCAGGUCUCGGGUCAGUAUUUUUAGCCAUUAAUUAUUAUCACAAAAUAAUUGUAAGCGCUAUAUUUGCUGCAGCAUUUAGUUUCAGCACAAAUGUAUUACCUAUAAAUAUUUGUAUGCAAACUUGUAGCCCCACAAAAAGUCAAAGCUCAAUUUUACAUACCCUGAUUUUAGGUUUUCCCUCAUUUUACAUUGUGUUUUUGUGGUCCCACCAAUAUAUGAUGCAUAAUAUGUUUUCUCCGGUUUUAAAUGUUACCGGUUUUACACCAUUAUUUUUUGGUUCCUCGAAAUACGUAAAAUGUGGGGGUUCUAUUGUACGUAUUUAUUUCCACAAAUACAAAGUGCUCAGGUUAAGUCUAAUGACUUUUGUUCUAUUGAUCUAUAUUUCUGGUACAUUGCUGAUCUGCAGAAAUCUACAACUUUAAUUCUAUGGUGAAAUUCUAUGGAACAGCACUCCUAGGACAAGCCUCCUGUUGGCAUACUUCUCAUUAAUGGGUGCUCCAGAAGGCGUAUUACGGAGUUGUUGACAUGUCCAUGACAGAUUUGCACAAUGUCUGCUGGCCAUAGAUGCAAA